rnacentral:rRNA from 1 species
CCUUUGACGUUAGCGGCGGACGGGUGAGUAACACGUGGGUAACCUACCUAUAAGACUGGGAUAACUUCGGGAAACCGGAGCUAAUACCGGAUAAUAUUUCGAACCGCAUGGUUCGAUAGUGAAAGAUGGUUUUGCUAUCACUUAUAGAUGGACCUGCGCCGUAUUAGCUAGUUGGUAAGGUAACGGCUUACCAAGGCGACGAUACGUAGCCGACCUGAGAGGGUGAUCGGCCACACUGGAACUGAGACACGGUCCAGACUCCUACGGGAGGCAGCAGUU